GACGAACGCUGGCGGCGUGCUUAACACAUGCAAGUCGAACGGAAAGGCCCUGCUUUUGUGGGGUGCUCGAGUGGCGAACGGGUGAGUAACACGUGAGUAACCUGCCCUUGACUUUGGGAUAACUUCAGGAAACUGGGGCUAAUACCGGAUAGGAGCUCCUGCUGCAUGGUGGGGGCUGGAAAGUUUCGGCGGUUGGGGAUGGACUCGCGGCUUAUCAGCUUGUUGGUGGGGUAGUGGCUUACCAAGGCUUUGACGGGUAGCCGGCCUGAGAGGGUGACCGGCCACAUUGGGACUGAGAUACGGCCCAGACUCCUACGGGAGGCAGCAGUGGGGAAUAUUGCACAAUGGGCGGAAGCCUGAUGCAGCAACGCCGCGUGCGGGAUGACGGCCUUCGGGUUGUAAACCGCUUUCGCCUGUGACGAAGCGUGAGUGACGGUAAUGGGUAAUGAAGCACCGGCUAACUACGUG
rnacentral:rRNA from 1 species